UCCAGCUCUCCCCUGAAAGUCCUCCAGGACUUUUUUCUGCCUUUUGUUUCCCUCCCCGGGAGUCGGCGCGACAGUGAAUUUCCGUUUCCUGCGGUGUCCAAGCGGACUUGAGGAGUCGCAGUUGUGAGCAGGUUAGAGUUAGUUGUUAUUGGUAAACAGCCACUAUGGAGACUAAGGACCAGAAGAAACAAAGAAAGAAAAACAGUGGACCCAAAGCUGAAAAGGAAAAGAAGCGGCAUCUGCAGGAUCUCCAGCUAGGAGACAAAGAAGAUGCCUGGAAGAGAAAUCCCAACGCUUUUGCAGUUCAGUCUGCUGUGUGGAUGGCUCGAUCCUUUCACAGGACUCAGGAUUUGAAGAAAAAAAAGCAUCAUAUUCCAGUGGUUGAUGGAACUCCACUAGAGCCCCCAGCAAUAGUGGUAGUGGUGACGGGGCCUCCAAAGUUGGAAAGAGCACUUUGAUACAAUGCCUCAUUCGGAACUUCAUUGGCAGAAGUUGACCGAGAUCAGAGGCCCUGUGACGAUCGUGUCAGGUAGGACAUGCCGCCACAGACACAGAGUCGGCGUGGCUGUUGUCAUCUGAGGGACGUGCGUGUGUUUGUUGUUUUCUUGAGUGGAACAUGUGAAAUUUUGUCAUAUCAUGUUACCUCUCUUAUACUUUUACUAAGUUAGCUAUAACUUCAGAAAAGGGUAAGUUCCCAGAGAUGAGGAUGUGAUACGUGUCUUAUCCUGACUGCUCUGUGGCUUUGCCAAGCAUGUUCCUUGGAAGGGUCUAGCAGGCCUGGUCACUGUGAACACAUCAUUUAACAGACAGCACGUACCUCCUAUGUGCCAGGUGCACGUGCUUGCCCUUAUGAAGCCACAUGCUGGUGGAAGUGUGUGUUUUCUCUUUUUCCUGGGAGAAUUUGUCUGCUUUGGGAGAUGGCAACCUUUCCAAGUUUGAGG